rnacentral:rRNA from 1 species
GAGUUUGAUCCUGGCUCAGAAUCAACGCUGGCGGCGUGCCUAACACAUGCAAGUCGAACGCGAAAGGGGCUUCGGCCCUGAGUAGAGUGGCGAACGGGUGAGUAACACGUGGGUGACCUGCCUUCGAGUGGGGGAUAACAUUCCGAAAGGAGUGCUAAUACCGCAUGACAUCCUGCCUUUGAACAGGCGGUGAUUAAAGCCGGGGAUCGUAAGACCUGGCGCUUGAAGAGGGGCCCGCGUCCGAUUAGCUAGUUGGUGGGGUAAUGGCCUACCAAGGCGACGAUCGGUAGCCGGCCUGAGAGGGCGGACGGCCACACUGGGACUGAGACACGGCCCAGACUCCUACGGGAGGCAGCAGUGGGGAAUUGUUCGCAAUGGGCGCAAGCCUGACGACGCAACGCCGCGUGGAGGAUGAAGAUCUUCGGGUCGUAAACUCCUUUCGAUCGGGACGAAUGGCUGGAGACCUAAUACGUCUUCAGAGUGACGGUACCGAGAGAAGAA